AUGUGAACAAAAAGGGUUUUGUGUUUUCCCAGAGUCAGACAAUUCCUUUGUGAUCCUGACUGCAGAGCUAAAGAAGGCACUCAAGGCCUUUAUUGUGUGUCUCCAUGUCUAUAUGCACCUGACCUGUGAACAUAGCCUUUUUUUCUUAUGCCAUGAGGACUAGAUAAUGAAUCCUCCUCUCUAAGGAAAAGACCGGAGGCUACAGCACAUCCGUGGGUGGAAGUGGGAUAGUUUUCAAGUCUCCUAAGAGUUCUCCUGCACUGUGUACCUCCGUGUAAACUGGAGUCCGCCUCAGGGAUCAUGGCGUUCUGGGUGGAUGGGAAGCCCAUGAUGAGGAGGAGUCUGAAGAAGGGAUACACUGUGGGGACAGAGGCAGGCAUCAUCCUGGGGCAGGAGCAGGAUUCCUUCACUGAGAGCUUUGACACAAACCAGUCCUUGGUGGGAGAUAUUGAAGAUGUGAACAUGUGGGACUUUGUGAGAUUAGAUAUUAGGUUAGAUUAGACAGCCAGAUGAGAUUAAUGCCAUCUAUGUUGGUGCGGCCUUCAGUCCUAAUGUCCCAGACUGGUGGAUGCUGACAUAUGAAGUGCACGGUGAAGAGUUCACCAAGCCCUAGUGGUGGCCCUGA
rnacentral:lncRNA from 1 species